UAAAAAUCAAUGACAAAGAGAGUAGUUUUUUGUAACGGCAAAGCGAGUCAGGGAUGGUGGAAGCCUGAUCACGGAGCAAAAAGUGAACCGCACUUUGGAGAUGCUUUCCUGAAUACACGUCUUAGGGGAAGUCGGGGUGAACCCCGUUAUCAAAUAGAGUGGUUUUUAUAAAACAAGUAGAGUGGUACCGCGGGUUAAUAGGAAUCCCGUCUCUUUU
rnacentral:ncRNA from 1 species